GGCGGAGGAUGCAAGCGUUAUCCGGAAUUAUUGGGCGUAAAGCGUCCGCAGGUGGCUGUUCAAGUCUGCUGUCAAAGCGCAGAGCUUAACUCUGUACAGGCGGUGGAAACUGAAGAGCUAGAGUAUGGUAGGGGUAGAGGGAAUUCCCGGUGUAGCGGUGAAAUGCGUAGAUAUCGGGAAGAACACCAGUGGCGAAGGCAGCUCUCUGGGACGGUACUGACGCUGAGACGCGAAAGCGUGGGGAGCGAACAGG
rnacentral:rRNA from 1 species